rnacentral:rRNA from 1 species
UGAGGAAUAUUGGUCAAUGGGAGAAAUCCUGAAGCAGCAACGCCGCGUGGAGGAUGAAGGGUCUAUGACUUGUAAACUCCUGUAAAGAAGGAAAAAAUUCCCAUUAGAUGGGAGAUGAUGGUACUUCUGGAGUAAGCCCCGGCUAACUACGUGCCAGCAGCCGCGGUAAUACGUAGGGGGCAAGCGUUGUCCGGAUUUACUGGGUGUAAAGGGUGCUCAGGCGGAUUUGUAAGUCAGAGGUGAAAUCUUACAGCUUAACUGUGAAACUGCCUUUGAUACUGCAAGCCUAGAGUAUGGAAGAGAGUGAUGGAAUAUCUGGUGUAGCAGUGAAAUGCGUAGAUAUCAGAUAGAACACCAAUGGCGAAGGCAGUCACUUGGUCCAUUACUGACGCUAAAGCACGAAAGCGUGGGUAGCAAACA